AUGAUUCAAAGAGUGACAAUAGGUACGAAUUUGACACCUUAACUUUGAACACCUAUAUAUCCUUCACAAAAACUCGAAAUCACACAAAAUCUUCAUCCAAAUUAUAUCCAAAACCUUGAACUUAUUGGCUCUAGCCUCCAAAGCUCAAAUGACUUCGAAAGAGAAACCCUAAUUCCUAAUAAGGCCUUAGGCAGCCUCCUUGAAGCCCAUUGGAUAUUACCUUCGACCAAUAGGAAUGAAGUUUUU
rnacentral:lncRNA from 1 species